AUACGGAGGGGGUUAGCGUUGUUCGGAAUUACUGGGCGUAAAGCGUGCGUAGGCGGACUAUUAAGUCAGAGGUGAAAUCCCGGGGCUCAACCCCGGAACCGCCUUUGAUACUGGUAGUCUUGAGGUCGAGAGAGGUGAGUGGAAUUCCUAGUGUAGAGGUGAAAUUCGUAGAUAUUAGGAGGAACACCAGUGGCGAAGGCGGCUCACUGGCUCGAUUCUGACGCUGAGGUACGAAAGUGUGGGGAGCAAACAGGAUUAGAUACCCUAGUAGUCC
rnacentral:rRNA from 1 species